rnacentral:lncRNA from 1 species
UCCAGAAUGCUUGGAAGCACAGCCAGAUGUUCUUUGGCUAAAACAAGGUGAUGAUGUUGGCCUUGGGUCGAAGCCCGUCUGAUGAAUACAAAGAAAACUACAUCAGGUCCGCAAGAAGUUGAGAGGCGAAGUCGGGCUCCUUUUUAUCAACCGCAUGAAGGAGGAGGUGAAUGAGAGGUUCACAAAGUAUACAGAAAUGGAUUUUGCUCGAGGAGGGAACAAAGCAACUUUAACUGUGAGCCUGGAUCCAGGGCCUCUGAAGCAGUUCCCUCAUACCAUGGAGCCAUAGCUGAGGCAGCUGGCUGGGUCUGCUCACUACCCUCAAGAAAGGCAUGGUGACCCUGCUGUCUGACUAUGAAAUAUGCAAGGAGGGUGACGUCCUGACCC